CCUACGGGAGGCAGCAGUGAGGAAUAUUGGUCAAUGGGCUUACGCCUGAACCAGCCAAGCCGCGUGAGGGAAGACUGCCCUACGGGUUGUAAACCUCUUUUGUCAGGGAGCAACGCCGGCUACGUGUAGCCGGACUGAGAGUACCUGAAGAAAAAGCACCGGCAAACUCGGUGCCAGAAGCCGCGGUAAUAUGGUGGAUGCGAGCGUGAUCUGGAUUGUUUGGGUUUAAAGGGUGCGGAGGCGGAAUGCCAAGUCAGCGGUAAAACCGCGGGGCUCACCCGCGCUCCGCCGUUGAAACUGGCGUUCUUGAGUGGGCGAGAAGUAUGCGGAAUGCGUGGUGUAGCGGUGAAAUGCGUAGAUAUCACGCAGAACUCCGAUUGCGAAGGCAGCAUACCGGCGCCCAACUGACGCUGAGGCACGAAAGCGUGGGUAUCGAACAGGAUUAGAUACCCUAGUAGUC
rnacentral:rRNA from 1 species